GGCCGGAUAAGGCGUUCACGCCGCAUCCGGCAACAGGAGCCAAAUGCCGGAUGCAACGCUGGCGCGUUUUAUCCGGCC
rfam:Escherichia coli str. K-12 substr. MG1655, complete genome.